rfam:Epilithonimonas sp. 36-9 SCNpilot_cont_300_bf_scaffold_307, whole genome shotgun sequence.
UUCUAAUUGGCGCAGCGCGUGAGCGAUGGUAGCGGCUAUCCUUUUGUCUGGAAAGGAAAGCAAUGGCGACAAAAGAUAAUAGUGGACAGCGCGACCCGAG